GAGUUCGAGUCUCCUAACCUCCACUGACCGAACUUAAUCUCCAUCUUCUGAUUGAUUGGAAGGUGAACUCGAGUGUGAGAGGUGUGAUUUAGAUGUGUCCGCUGGCAUGACCCCAGCUUCCUGUCAUUCCAAAAUUGAGUGAGCAAUCACAUUGAUUUUGGUUGAUAAGAUGCUGGGCUCGAACUGAGUGAUCAGUUCUCUGUCUAGCA
rnacentral:misc_RNA from 1 species